rnacentral:rRNA from 1 species
UACCUGCAGCUCGAGUGGUAACCGCUAUCAUUGGGCCUAAAGCGUCCGUAGCCGGUUUGGUAAAUAUCUGGGUAAAUCGUGAGGCUUAACUUCACGAAUUUCGGAUAGACUACCAGACUUGGGAUCGGGGGAGGUCAGAGGUACUCCAGGGGUAGCGGUGAAAUGUUGUAAUCCUUGGAGGACCACCGGUAGCGAAGGCGUCUGACUAGAACGAGUCCGACGGUGAGGGACGAAGCCCUGGGGCGCAAACCGGAUUAGAUACCCGGGUAGUCCAGGGUGUAGACAAUGUGGGCUUUGUAUUGGAGGUCCCACGUGGGCGUCCAGUGCAGAAGAGAAGUUGUUAAGCCCACCGCCUGGGAAGUACGGUCGCAAGGCUGAAACUUAAAGGAAUUGGCGGGGGAGCACAGCAACGGGAGGAGCGUGCGGUUU